CCUGGCUCAGGAUGAACGCUGGCGGCCGUGCCAACACAUAGCAAGUCGAACGAAGGACUGCGCGGCGGAACGUCUCCGGAGGGAAGGAUGCGCAGGACUGAGUGGCGGACGGGUGAGUAACGCGUGGGUAACCUGCCCUGUACAGGGGGACAACAGCUGGAAACGCUGCUAAUACCGCAUAAGCCUACAGUGCCGCAUGGUACAGCAGGAAAAACUCCGGUGGUACAGGAUGGGCCCGCGUCUGAUUAGUUAGUUGGCAGGGUAACGGCCUACCAAGACAACGAUCAGUAGCCGGCUUGAGAGAGUGACGGCCACAUUGGGACUGAGACACGGCCCAAACUCCUACGGGAGGCAGCAGUGGGGAAUAUUGCACAAUGGGGGGAACCCUGAUGCAGCAACGCCGCGUGAGUGAAGAAGUAUUUCGGUAUGUAAAGCUCUAUCAGCAGGGAAGAAAAUGACGGUACCUGACUAAGAAGCUCCGGCUAAAUACGUG
rnacentral:rRNA from 1 species